ensembl:ncRNA ZK617.13 ncRNA
CGUGGCAAGGGCCUUUAAUUAUCAGUAGAACACACUGAUAUCAAAUCCACGCUUCAUCAUCCUCAACUUGUUGUUUUUUGUCUUCUCCAAGCCGUGUGCCAUUGGCCCGCGGGCACUGGACCUGGGGAAAAGUGUAAAAAUG